GGGAGAGAUAGAGAUAGAGAGAGACAGAGAUAGAGAGAGACAGAGAGAGGUGAGGGUAAGAGAGAGAGAGACAGAGAAAAGUGAGGGUAAGAGAGAGAGACAGAGAGAGGUGAGGGUAAGAGAGAGAGAGACAGAGAGGUAGAUGGUAAGAGAGGGAGAGAGAGAGAGAGGUAGAGGUAAGAGAGAGAGAGAGAGAGAGGGGUAGAUGGUAAGAGGGAGAGAGAGAGAGGUAGAUGGUAAGAGAGGGAGAGAGAGAUAGGUAGAGGGUCAGAGAUAGGUAGGUAGAUGGAGAGAGAGAGAGAGGAGAGAGAGAGAGAGAGAGAGAGAGAGAGAGAGAGGUAGAGAGAGAGAUAGGUAGAGGGUCAGAGAUAGGUAGGUAGAUGGAGAGAGAGAGAGAGGGAGAGAGAGAGAGAGAGAGAGGUAGAGAGAGAGAUAGGUAGAGGGUCAGAGAUAGGUAGGUAGAUGGAGAGAGAGAGAGCGGGAGAGAGAGAGAGAGAGGUAGAGAGAGAGAGAUAGGUAGAGGGUAAGAGAUAGCUAGGUAGAUGGAGAGAGAGAGAGCGGGAGAGAGAGAGAGAGAGAGAGAGGUAGAGAGAGAGAUAGGUAGAGGGUCAGAGAUAGCUAGGUAGAUGGAUAGAGAGAGAGAAGAGUUGGUUCAUCUACUUCUCCUUCCCCUCUGAUGUUUAAUCAUUGACUGACCUGAACUCUUCUUUCACUGGUUCAGGAACGGCUACGAGCAAUAAUAUCUCCUCAGAGAGAAAACACACAGUCUGUAUCCCGAAUGGUACACCUGGUACGGCUCCUGGUCAAACGGACAGGCACAUGAGAACAGUAUUCCUGUCGUCAUGACGAUUUAAAAUAAUCCCUCCUAAUCCCGGUUCUGUAAACGUUACCAGAUCAGAUUCCUCUCCCGGUCCCCCUCAUACUUGUCAGGGACACACAGGUACACCCUCAUACUGGUCAAGGACACACAGGUACACCCUCAUACUGGUCAGGGACACACAGGUACACCCCCAUACUGGUCAGGGACACACAGGUACACCCUCAUACUGGUCAAGGACACACAGGUACACCCUCAUACUGGUCAAGGACACACAGGUACACCCUCAUACUGGUCAGGGACACACAGGUACACCCUCAUACUGGUCAGGUACACACAGGUACACCCUCAUACUGGUCAGGGACACACAGGUACACCCUCAUACUGGUCAAGGACACACAGGUACACCCUCAUACUGGUCAGGGACACACAGGUACACCCCCAUACUGGUCAGGGACACACAGGUACACCCCCAUACUGGUCAAGGACACAC
rnacentral:lncRNA from 1 species